UACGGUUUAAGUAGAGCACAUGGGGCUGAGAAAAUGGAAGACUUUGGGGCAUCGGUCCAGACAUGUUGCUUGAGGCAUUGGUGCCUCUGCCCAGACCCCCUCAGAUCUCACUAUUGCUGUGUAUACAGAUGGCUUGUUUCUGCAGCCCCCCGGGGGCUUCCUCUGGCUGCAGGAGAGUAUUCACUAGUGCAAGAGGCAGACUAGCAGUGGGAUGGGGAAUUCUUCCCCCCAAUGCUCAGAUCGCCUUCUACCAAUGGUGGAUGGGAGUUGGUGCCUAAAUGCCCCAGCUCCCUCACUUCUCCUCAGGAUCGUGCUGAGGUGUGUUCCCCAGGGGUCUUCAAGGAGGAAUGAGCCGCAGUUGCUCAUAGCAGAACCUGCUCAGUAAAGCAUCCUGUGUCACCUCUCCUCCCUUUCCUGUCUCACCUCCUUGCUCCCCCAUCAGUGCUCCCAAUAAGCCUCUUCCAUCAGGUUGUUGUCUCAGAAUUUUCUUCCAGGAGAAUCUAGGGUUAAGAUCUAAGCCAGGUCUGUAGAACUGGCUGCAGAAAGGGAAGUAAAUAGGAGGACUGGUCAGUAUUUCACAUUCACAAGACCCCCCAGUCUUGAUGUUUGAGGCAGGCCAGUUGACUUGAGGAUGGCACAGCCCCAGGAGAAUGAUAUUUGAAGGUAGGAAUAAAGAAGUUAAGAAAAAGAGUUCCAUUGUGGCUUGGGGUAAUGAACCCAAUAGUAUCCAUGAGAAUAUGAGUUUGAUCCCUGGCCUCGCUCAAUAGGUCCAGGAUCCAGCAUUGCUGUGAGCCGUGGUGUAGGUCACAGACGUGGCUCAGAUCUGGCAUUGCUGUGGCUGUGGUGUAGGCUGGCAACUGCAGCUCCAAUUUGAUCCCCAGCCUAGGAACUUCCAUAUGCUGCACAUGUGGCCCUAAAAAAAAGAAGAAGAAGAAGAAAUUAAGAAAAGAGAAAGGAAGGGGAGGGGAAGGCCAUGGGGCCUCAGCUGAAGCAGCCAGAUCAGGACAGCUCCUGGGGAGGCGAUUUGGCCCAUACUUUAUAUGGAGGAUGGAGUCAGAGCCGCUGAUCCAGUCAUUCUCUGCUUCUGUCCCCUAAGGACUUUAGGGACCAUUCAGUCAGUAAAUGUUGAUUGAGCACCUGCUAAAAGCCAGGCUCUGUGCCAGGCCUUGGGGAUGCAAAGAGGAGUCAAAUACAGUCGCAGCCUUACAAGUUUUAGGUCUAGUUGGGGAGGCAGACUCAUUGACAAACAAUUACACACGGAGGUCUGAGGGAGCGGAGGGUCACAAACUCACGUUGGGAAGUAGUGUGACUUCUUCGGAUUUAAAUAUGGGGAGACUGAGGCCAGAGGAGGAAAGCUGAUGGGGUUGUAAUUCCUGGGCAUUGCUGCAGACACUAAAUAUUUCUGUUGGUAGUUCAUUUCUUUCUAGCUCUUAUCUUUUACAUUUGCCUUGGAAAGUAUGGCCCGGUGACCCCGGCCUCCACCUGCUUUUAGCUUGACAGUCAGGGCUUGCUUUGGCCUGACAGCCACUGCUGGAUUGAGUUUUGCCUUUUUGUGCCCUCUACCCCUUGCCCAACUACAGGGAUUUUAUUGCCCCCAAGAGCCCAGCAGCCUCUGCUGUUUUUCCUGCUCUGUCCUGCCUGGUCCCAUUAUCUGAAGCUUCCUCAUUAGACUUAUGAGGAAGUCAUUCCUUUAACUCCCUUUAGGUUCCAAAACCUCAGGUUAUGACAGUACCCCACCCACCUGAUGUGCCUUACCUUUUCCUCUUUUGAAUUCGUUAGUGUUUUUCGAUGAUGCCCAGAGAAAUGCCUCCUGCGACUUGCAGGAUGAUGCUCGGACCAAAGCCCACAGAGUCACAGCAAAGAUCAUCUGUAGGUAAAUCCCAUCCCACAACUUCAUUUUUUUUCCCUGAAACUAUUUAGAGAAGAACCCCUUUGCAAGUUGAGAAUGGGCAUAAAGAAAGCCAGAAGUGUUGUGUUUCAGAUGAACUUGCACAGUUACAAAUGGGAGUUGAGUUGGAAGGAAGGCAAGCUUUUGCCCUUUAAAGUCCUUUGAGGAAAUGGGCUCUUGCUAAAAUAUGCAAACACACCCAGAGUGGCAUAUUUCCUGAUUCUUGGCAGCUGCUCAGCCUCUACCCUGGAGACUCUUGCUUCAGGCCUUGCAUUUUCUCCCCAGCCAUUGACCUUCUGGAGUGCCUGAACAUGAAAGUUUGGGGCCCAAAUGGACCCAUCCUUCAUCCUAACAGCGAGAGCUGCUACUGAGGCUCUGAGGUGAGACUGGUCUCUUCUGCAUGACUUAGUGGCAGGAACACAGCCAGGGCCCCUGACUCUGCUAGGUUGUCGCCUGCUCGGCUGUUAGUCACUUCAGUGCUCUGCACACUGGGGAGCCGUUGCAGCUUCUGUAGUAAGGUGGACGUGAUGGAGGGGAAGUGAGGCAAUUCCUCCCCAAUAUUUGGCCUCCUUCCAAUUAGUGUGCUGCUUUUCUAGGCUUGUGUCCUAUGAAAAGGAAAUUUUCUUAGUUCGUGCUUAAAAAAAUUUUUUUUAACCUUGAGGUGACUAAUUUGCUAUCAACAGUAAAUAUUUGUUGGGUUCCAAUAAUAGUUGACCUUUGCAGAAUGAUUAGUGUGUGCAUGAUGCUACACCCCCAAAAUCCUUAUGGACUUUAAUUUUCUCAGCAACCCUUCACACAGGAAGGCAUUUGGACAGAGAUAAAGUAGUUCAAUGUCACACAGCAAGCCACUAGCAGGACCAUGAUUUGAACCUGAGUCUGACUCCAGAGGCCAGGAAUCCACUUAUUCUGCCUCCUUCUCUGUGCAGACCACUUUCAAGGGUCUGUGACUACAAGCAAGUGUAAGUUGUGAUCCCUGGCCUCCAAAGAAUUCGAAACUCACAGGGAAGAUGAAACACGAAUGUGAAAUGCUGCGGGAGUUCCCUGGUGGUCUAGUGGUUAAGAUUUGGUGCUUUUACUGCUAUGGUCCUGGUUUCAGUCCCUGGUCUGGGAACUGAGAUCCUACAUCAAGCCACUGCAAAAAAAAAAAAAAAAAAAA
rnacentral:lncRNA from 1 species